rnacentral:rRNA from 1 species
GACGAACGCUGGCGGCGUGCUUAACACAUGCAAGUCGAACGGAAAGGCCCUGCUUUUGUGGGGUGCUCGAGUGGCGAACGGGUGAGUAACACGUGAGUAACCUGCCCUUGACUUUGGGAUAACUUCAGGAAACUGGGGCUAAUACCGGAUAGGAGCUCCUGCUGCAUGGUGGGGGUUGGAAAGUUUCGGCGGUUGGGGAUGGACUCGCGGCUUAUCAGCUUGUUGGUGGGGUAGUGGCUUACCAAGGCUUUGACGGGUAGCCGGCCUGAGAGGGUGACCGGCGACAUUGGGACUACGAUACGGACCAGAAUCCUACGGGCGGCAGCAGUGGGGAAUCUUGCACAAUGGGCGGGAGCCAGAUGCAGCAACGCUGCGUGCGGGAUGACGGCCUUCGGGUUGUAAACAGCUUUCGCAUGUGACGAAGAGUGCGUGACGGUAAUGGGUCAGAAAGCCACGGCUAACUACGUG